UGCCGCGAAAGCGCGACACGGGRAGCUUGAGUGUCUUGGCAUAGCCAAGACUUUUCUCAUUCCUAAAAAGCAUGAGGAAUAAGUGCUGGGUAAGACGGGUGCCAGCCGCCGCGGUAACACCCGCAGCACGAGUAGUGGUCACUUUUAUUGAGCCUAAAGCGUUCGUAGCCGGUUUUGUAAAUCUUCAGAUAAAGCCUGAAGCUUAACUCCAGAAAGUCUGAAGAGACUGCAAGACUUGAGAUCGGGUGAGGUUAAACGUACUUUCAGGGUAGGGGUAAAAUCCUGUAAUCCCGGAAGGACGACCAGUGGCGAAAGCGUUUAACUAGAACGAAUCUGACGGUAAGGAACGAAGGCUAGGGUAGCAAACCGGAUUAGAUACCCGGGUAGUCCUAGCUGUAAACAUUGCCCAUUUGAUGUUGCUUUUCCGUUGAGGGAAGGCAGUGUCGGAGCGAAGGUGUUAAAUGGGCCGCUUGGGAAGUAUGGUCGCAAGACUGAAACUUAAAGGAAUUGGCGGGGG
rnacentral:rRNA from 1 species